CCUACGGGGCGCAGCAGUGGGGAAUAUUGCACAAUGGGGGAAACCCUGAUGCAGCGACGCCGCGUGAGUGAAGAAGUAUUUCGGUAUGUAAAGCUCUAUCAGCAGGGAAGAAAAUGACGGUACCUGAUUAAGAAGCCCCGGCUAAAUACGUGCCAGCAGCCGCGGUAAUACGUAGGGGGCAAGCGUUAUCCGGAUUUACUGGGUGUAAAGGGAGCGUAGACGGCAGCACAAGUCUGGAGUGAAAUGCCGGGGCUUAACCCCGGAACUGCUUUGGAAACUGUGCAGCUAGAGUGCAGGAGAGGUAAGUGGAAUUUCUAGUGUAGCGGUGGAAUGCGUAGAUAUUAGGAGGAACACCAGUGGCGAAGGCGGCUUACUGGACUGUAACUGACGUUGAGGCUCGAAAGCGUGGGGAGCAAACAGGAUUAGAUACCCGGGUAGUC
rnacentral:rRNA from 1 species